GGUUUUGUCACAAGAAAGGCAUUUUCACUUUAAUUUUUUCUGGUGAGAUGAGGGGAAGAGGAGGUAUAAUCGGCAGACAUGUGCACAGGGACCCAGAGAGACCAAGGCUUUUAAGCUGGAAGCACUACAGCCUUUCAAAACGUGGGCUUUGGAGUCGGGCGCUCAAGAGUUUCCUAUACUAGAGUUCAUCCUGCAACCUGGGUGUUCAAGGACUCCAGCUGAGCUUCAAGGACAGCAGAUAGGAUGGAGAUGGCCUCACAAGUCUCUUGGAGUAGAGACAGGGUUUCACCAUAUUGGCCAGGCUGUCUUGAACUUCCGACCUCAAGUGAUCUACCAGCCACAGCCUCCCAAAGUGCUGGGAUUACAGGUGUGAGCCACCGUGCCUGGCCUGCAUAGUACUUCAGACCUUUUAUGAUUUAUUCCUUAUGAACUAUCCUUAACCCUCUCUUCCAGAUUCUCCUCUUCCAAAUCCCUUUCAUGAUUGAAUUCCACCAAUUUCUACUCUCAUACCUUCUGUGUUCCUCCACACCUCUGUGUCUCUGUGUCCUAUCCCUAUAUUCUAUCCCCUUCCUCAUUCUCUCUCCUUUCCCUUCCCCUUCUUUCACCCCCUCAGCCGUUUGACCAGCUCUUGCUUCAUUGGUCCUCAGAGUGAGUAACCUCUAAGAGGGCUUUCUGGUCAGGAAAGCAUACGGUUA
rnacentral:lncRNA from 13 species